UGCAGUUAUUUCAUUUCCUGAGGCCUUCUCCCCAGGGAUCCUACUCCCCAAGCCAUUUUCUCAGAGCUCUGCCUGUAUUUUGAAAAUAAAUCUGCUGGGAUAAGAACUAAGAAAAUGAAAAAAAGGCAGGAGAUCAGAAAGUGAGAAUAUGCAUAAGAGAAUAAAGGAAGGAGAGCCGAAUGGGAUAAAUAAAACAGUUGGAUGCAAGAAAACAAGAAAGCACAUGGCUACAAGCGAAAAAAGAAAUCUCAUUGCCAACUCAGAAUAAACUCCUGAGGCUGAUUACAAGAUUCAAAUGGUUUAAUCCAAAAAGGAGUCACCAUUUCUGCUGCCUUUUAGGGGACUGGUUUUUAAAUCAUGCACAUGUGGAAGGAAACAUCUCCAGGUUCUUCAUUCCAUUCUAUUUUCCACACCAGCUAAG